UGGCCCAUGCUGGGGGUAUCGAAACCACGACCUUCGCGCUAUUAGCACGACGCUCUAACCAACUGAGCUAAUGGCC